GUGCUUGGUAAAUAUCUGAAUGACUUUAUAAUGCCCUGCACAUUCUGCAGAGUUGGAGUGAUCACUCUCCGGAUACCUGUAAAUCUGGAAGUAUUUUUCCCUAUGUUGGCACUGCCAUACUUCUCUAAAAUGAUAGUUUAAAAAGAAACUGUGUUCUUCAAAUACAGUGCUUGUGGAAGAAGUCCUGAGGUUCCCAAAGAUCUCAAAUGCUGAGCAGUGAAAGGAGACUGAAUAACAGAACUAUGAUCUGUGUUUUUACUCUGUAUUCACAAAAUUUAAUUAUCAUUUUUUUCUAUUUUUUUCUUAUUCCCUUCCCCUGCAAAAUGAAAAAAUUCUGUAAUGAAAAGUGUGAAGGAAAGACAAUUGCUUUUUUCAGUUGAGCAGAUGGGCUUAUCAAACAAAUGAAGACAAAGAACACAUAAUCGAGAGUGUGAUGGGAGAGGGAAGACAAAUUAUUUUUAAUGAUUCACGGCAACCACAUUUAUAUCCUAUUGUUACUACAGAAAAGAAUGUCUUCAGAUAACCCGUGGUCAACAGAUGAGAAUGAAAGCCAAUUAUCCCGACUAAUCAGGAAAUCUAGAGACUCCCCCUUUGUCCCUAUAGGUAUAGCAGGCUUUGUGACUGUGGUGUCCUAUGGUCUUUACAAAUUAAAGUAUAGAAGAGAUCAGAAAAUGUCACUUCAUCUUAUUCACAUGAGAGUUGCUGCCCAAGGAUUUGUUGUCGGAGCUCUAGAUUUUCUUCAAAGUAUUCCUAGGAAUACAAAAGUGAACUACAAACAAAUUUCUUUUCCCUGAGAUGGCAAAAAGGAUUUAGAAGUGCUAUUGCUAAUGUGAUACGACACUGUAGAAAACACAGGAAAUCAAAGCAGAUGUUAAAGGUUAAGUAUGCCCGUGGCCUUGAACUCCUGUCUAACUGCCCUCAGGAUCUAAAAAAUCAUCUAGGGUUUUUUGAAGACAUAACUGCUUUAAGCUUAAUCCCAAAGAAUUCAAGCCUAGAACAGAAAAAAAAAAGUCACUGAAGUAAAAUCAAGAAUAUAUGCAAUAUAAGAUGAUUUCUGGUGGUGAUUUCCUUUUCCUCAGUGUUUCCUGCAAUGGAGGGUGACACUGACAAGAAGGUGAAGUCCGGUAUUUGUGGACAAGAAAAACAUGAAAAUGUCUGCAU